rnacentral:rRNA from 1 species
UUGAAGAGUUUGAUCAUGGCUCAGAUUGAACGCUGGCGGCAGGCCUAACACAUGCAAGUCGAACGGUAACAGAAAGCAGCUUGCUGCUUUGCUGACGAGUGGCGGACGGGUGAGUAAUGUCUGGGAAACUGCCUGAUGGAGGGGGAUAACUACUGGAAACGGUAGCUAAUACCGCAUAAUGUCGCAAGACCAAAGAGGGGGACCUUCGGGCCUCUUGCCAUCGGAUGUGCCCAGAUGGGAUUAGCUAGUAGGUGGGGUAACGGCUCACCUAGGCGACGAUCCCUAGCUGGUCUGAGAGGAUGACCAGCCACACUGGAACUGAGACACGGUCCAGACUCCUACGGGAGGCAGCAGUGGGGAAUAUUGCACAAUGGGCGCAAGCCUGAUGCAGCCAUGCCGCGUGUAUGAAGAAGGCCUUCGGGUUGUAAAGUACUUUCAGCGGGGAGGAAGGGAGUAAAGUUAAUACCUUUGCUCAUUGACGUUACCCGCAGAAGAAGCACCGGCUAACUCCGUGCCAGCAGCCGCGGUAAUACGGAGGGUGCAAGCGUUAAUCGGAAUUACUGGGCGUAAAGCGCACGCAGGCGGUUUGUUAAGUCAGAUGUGAAAUCCCCGGGCUCAACCUGGGAACUGCAUCUGAUACUGGCAAGCUUGAGUCUCGUAGAGGGGGGUAGAAUUCCAGGUGUAGCGGUGAAAUGCGUAGAGAUCUGGAGGAAUACCGGUGGCGAAGGCGGCCCCCUGGACGAAGACUGACGCUCAGGUGCGAAAGCGUGGGGAGCAAACAGGAUUAGAUACCCUGGUAGUCCACGCCGUAAACGAUGUCGACUUGGAGGUUGUGCCCUUGAGGCGUGGCUUCCGGAGCUAACGCGUUAAGUCGACCGCCUGGGGAGUACGGCCGCAAGGUUAAAACUCAAAUGAAUUGACGGGGGCCCGCACAAGCGGUGGAGCAUGUGGUUUAAUUCGAUGCAACGCGAAGAACCUUACCUGGUCUUGACAUCCACGGAAGUUUUCAGAGAUGAGAAUGUGCCUUCGGGAACCGUGAGACAGGUGCUGCAUGGCUGUCGUCAGCUCGUGUUGUGAAAUGUUGGGUUAAGUCCCGCAACGAGCGCAACCCUUAUCCUUUGUUGCCAGCGGUCCGGCCGGGAACUCAAAGGAGACUGCCAGUGAUAAACUGGAGGAAGGUGGGGAUGACGUCAAGUCAUCAUGGCCCUUACGACCAGGGCUACACACGUGCUACAAUGGCGCAUACAAAGAGAAGCGACCUCGCGAGAGCAAGCGGACCUCAUAAAGUGCGUCGUAGUCCGGAUUGGAGUCUGCAACUCGACUCCAUGAAGUCGGAAUCGCUAGUAAUCGUGGAUCAGAAUGCCACGGUGAAUACGUUCCCGGGCCUUGUACACACCGCCCGUCACACCAUGGGAGUGGGUUGCAAAAGAAGUAGGUAGCUUAACCUUCGGGAGGGCGCUUACCACUUUGUGAUUCAUGACUGGGGUGAAGUCGUAACAAGGUAACCGUAGGGGAACCUGCGGUUGGAUCACCUCCUU